rnacentral:rRNA from 1 species
GAUACGACCGUACCGCAAACCGACACUGGUGCGCGAGAUGAGUAUUCUAAGGCGCUUGAGAGAACUCAGGAGAAGGAACUCGGCAAAUUGACACCGUAACUUCGGAAGAAGGUGUGCCCUAUUAGUGUGUAGUGAACAACGAAGCAUGAAUGGGUUGCAAAAAAUCGGUGGCUGCGACUGUUUAUUAAAAACACAGCACUCUGCAAACACGAAAGUGGACGUAUAGGGUGUGACGCCUGCCCGGUGCUGGAAGAUUAAAUGAUGGGGUGCAAGCUCUUGAUUGAAGUCCCAGUAAACGGCGGCCGUAACUAUAACGGUCCUAAGGUAGCGAAAUUCCUUGUCGGGUAAGUUCCGACCUGCACGAAUGGCGUAACGAUGGCCACACUGUCUCCUCCUGAGACUCAGCGAAGUUGAAAUGUUUGUGAUGAUGCAAUCUCCCCGCGGAAAGACGGAAAGACCCCAUGAACCUUUACUGUAGCUUUGUAUUGGACUUUGAACAGAUCUGUGUAGGAUAGGUGGGAGACUUUGAAGCAGGGUCGCUAGAUCUUGUGGAGCCAACGUUGAAAUACCACCCUGGUGUGUUUGAGGUUCUAACCUAGGUCCAUUAUCUGGAUCGGGGACAGUGCAUGGUAGGCAGUUUGACUGGGGCGGUCUCCUCCCAAAGCGUAACGGAGGAGUUCGAAGGUACGCUAGUUACGGUCGGACAUCGUGACGAUAGUGCAAUGGCAUAAGCGUGCUUAACUGCGAGACUGACAAGUCGAGCAGAUGCGAAAGCAGGACAUAGUGAUCCGGUGGUUCUGUAUGGAAGGGCCAUCGCUCAACGGAUAAAAGGUACUCUGGGGAUAACAGGCUGAUACCGCCCAAGAGUUCAUAUCGACGGCGGUGUUUGGCACCUCGAUGUCGGCUCAUCUCAUCCUGGGGCUGUAGCCGGUCCCAAGGGUAUGGCUGUUCGCCAUUUAAAGAGGUACGUGAGCUGGGUUUAAAACGUCGUGAGACAGUUUGGUCCCUAUCUUCCGUGGGCGCUGCAGAUUUGAGGAAGCCUGCUCCUAGUACGAGAGGACCGGAGUGGACACACCUCUGGUGUAUCGGUUGUCACGCCAGUGGCAUUGCCGAGUAGCUAAGUGUGGAAGAGAUAACCGCUGAAAGCAUCUAAGCGGGAAACUCGUUUCAAGAUGAGAUCUGCCGGGGCCUUGAGCCCCCUAAAGAGUCGUUCAAGACCAGGACGUUGAUAGGUCAGGUGUGGAAGC